AAUCAACGCUGGCGGCGUGCCUCAGACAUGCAAGUCGAACGAUUAAAGCCCUCUUCGGAGAGUGUAUAGAGUGGCGCACGGGUGAGUAACACGUAAGUAAUCUACCUUUGAGUGGGGAAUAACGUCCGGAAACGGACGCUAAUACCGCAUAAUGCAGCGGCAUCGCAAGAUGACAGUUGUUAAAGAUUUAUCGCUUGAAGAGGAGCUUGCGGCAGAUUAGCUUGUUGGUAAGGUAACGGCUUACCAAGGCUACGAUCUGUAACCGGUCUAAGAGGACGGUCGGUCACACUGACACUGAAUAACGGGUCAGACUCCUACGGGAGGCAGCAGUCGGGAAUUUUGGGUCAAUGGGCGAAAGCCUGACCCAGCAACGCCGCGUGAAGGAUGAAGUAAUUUCGGUAUGUAAACUUCGAAAGAAUGGGAAGAAUCAAUGACGGUACCAUUUAUAAGGUCCGGCUAACUACGUGCCAGCAGCCG
rnacentral:rRNA from 1 species